rnacentral:rRNA from 1 species
AUAUUUUCAAAGUUUUCGGAUGGAGAAAAUAUUGAGAGAGCGGCGAACGGGUGAGUAACACGUUGGUACAUGCCCCCAAGUCAGGGAUAGCCAGAAGAAAUUCUGAUUAAUACCGGAUAGUCUCUUUGGAGUAAAAUUUAUUGCUUGGGGAGUGGCCUGCGUUCUAUCAGCUAGUUGGUGAGGUAAUAGCUCACCAAGGCUAUGACGGAUACCUGGUCUGAGAGGAUGAUCAGGCACAAUGGAACUGAGACACGGUCCAUACUCC